rnacentral:rRNA from 1 species
AUAUAUGAUAAUAUACUUUUAAUACUAUUACGCUAGAGUUUAUUAGGAGUUAACGGAACCUCUAUAAUCAGAGUUGAAAUGCGUUAAAGAUAGAGAGAACUCCAAUGGCGAAAGCAGUUAACUAUAGUAGACUGACACUGAGGCACGAAGGCAUGGGAAUCGAAGAGGAUUAGGUACCCUCGUAGUCUAUGCUGUCAACGAUGAAUGUUAAAGGGUAGUGUUAACUAUUCUUACAGCUAACGCGUUAAACAUUCCGCCUGGGAACUACGAUCGCAAGAUUAAAACCUAAAGAAAUUGACGGAGAUCUGCUACAAGCAGUGGAGCAUGUGAUUUAAUUCGAUACACCGCGAGAAAUCUUACCAAUCCUUGUCAUAUUAGAUAUAGAUAGUAGAUAUUGUAGUAAUAUACAAUAAAUGAUUUCUAUCUCUCAUAAGGCAUAAAAUAGGACGAUAAUUUCAUAGCAUUGUCUAUAUAUAUAAUAUCUAAUACAGGUGUUGCAUGGCUGUCGUAAGUUCGUGUUGUGAGGCGUUAGGUUAAUUCCCAUGAACGAACGAGACCCUCAUUUAUAUUUAAGUUACGCACUAACAAAAAAACUAUAAAAUUAGGGGAUGACGUCAAGUCAUUAUGGCCUUAAUGGGUUGGGGCUAUCCAA